CCAAGGUGUUACUAAAUCGCCAGAAUCAGCGUCAACAUUGGCCAAUUGAUUGAUGAUAAUCGAAAAGAUACAUGUCUAUUUAUGAUGCAAGAAUCUUCAUUUUGAUUGCAGAAUUUUGUGAAAAAAAAGAAAGCCCCGAAACCUGUUGUUCGAUACGAAUGAAAGAUGAGAAAGAAAUGAAAUGAAAAACAAGGUUUCAUUUUAACCGGACUUGGUCACUAUUGGUGAAUUAGGUCAAACUAUCAUCUUUUCAAAACAAGUUCUCUUCACAGAUAUAUUAGGCUAUUUACAACUAUUUUUAUUCAUUUUUAUCAUCAUCUUCAUGACUGAUGGAUGCUAUUGUUGUCAUGGAUGUUCUCUGUAUUUGUGUUUGUCUGUCUGUGUAUUAUAAUAGUUUUGGUGAGAAAAAUAAUAAUAAAACUGGUUCACAUAUGAA